CCCACUGAUCCAUCCAUUCAUCCAUCUACCAUCCAUCCAUCUAUCCACCCAUCUGUCACCCACUUAGUCAUCUAUCCAUCCAUCUACCCAUCCGUCCAUCUGUUUGUCCAUCCGCCCUUCUACCCAUCCAUUGUGGAUGGACCUAGCCAGGACCAGCAUCAUCAGUGAGCAAGAACAGGAUGUGCACUGGGUUUUGGGGUAGUUACUUAACUUCAGCGGCACCCAGUGCUGUGGAGUGAAUCACUACUGGACCGUCCUGGUUUGGGGGAAACAGAGGCCUCAACAGGUGUCAUCGCACCUAGGUCGAGGGAGAAGUUAUUCAGGCACAAGGGAGCAGAGUCCAGGCACAGCUUGUGCAAAGGUCCUGAGGAACGGAAAAGUGAGUGCAGCCAGUGAAAUCGUGAAGACUAGCAUGAGUGGGCGUCCCUCCUAUUCUCCACUUCUACUCUGAUGACAAGGGUAAACCCAUCAAGGAGGGACUUAGGGUGGUAGGAGAGCAAGGCGGAACAGGGAGAACGACAGCAUGUCCAGCCAGUGUGCCUGCUGUGCCUUAACACUGUCCUCAGAUCUCCAUCCAGUUCCUGGUGUACAGAAGCCAUGAUGCUGAUGCUGCCUCAGAGCGAGAGCCGCUCCUCCCAAGCUGACCCCACAGCUGCCCUCCCAGGAAGGAGUGAUACUGCCGCCACUGGACUGGGCCUAGGAGGUGGCCUGGGACUCUGGGCCUGGCUGCCUCCCCUCCACACCUGGCCUUCAGACAGGUCUAGAGUUGGCACAGGUCUGGAGUUGGCGUGUGCUAUGCCGGGACAUACCUCUCAGGUAUAUGACAGCUGUCCGAGGAGCCUCUAGGGCACCCCAGAAGACGGUGUGGCCUCCUCCCAAUCAAACUACCUCAAUCUGACUAUGUACUCCUGGCUACAUCAUAGCUGGGGGACCCAGGGUUGUCCCUCUGACUGGGCACAACCUAGUAAAUAGUACCUUCCAGCUGGGCCUGUUUCUGCUGCUCCUUCCCAUGGUGCUUGAGGUCUAGGCAGGGAUCCAGGGCAAGCCCAUCCUGAUAGGGGGGGCACGUGCAGCCUCCCUGGCCCUUGGCAUCCUAACUUGUAUCCUUCUGUCCUCUUGUACACAGACCCUACCUGGUGUGGGACACCAGUGGUCUCUCUGUUCCUGGGGCUCUGGGAGAAGCAGAUAACCAAGGGCAGGCUUUGGUUGAGCAUCACCAGAGGCCUGGCAUGACCAUGUGACCGCCCCCUCUGUCCUUGCCCAGGCCGUGUAGGGUGAGGCAGCUAGCCCAAAGCGAGGCAUGUAGUCAAGUGUCUCAUACAGUCAGAGCUCAGUGAUGGUCGCUGAAGUGGAGAAGAGGGGAAGACUGGUGCCUUUCUGAGGAAGGCAGAGACUAGAAGCACAGGUGGAAAACAAGGCCAGCAGGAGACGGGUGACGGGGGCAGAGAGGAAGGGAGGAAGAUUGGUCUCAGCGGUCUUUGUUACAACACCUUUAGGG
rnacentral:lncRNA from 1 species